AACAGUCAUCCAUCUUGAUAUUAAGGUGGGGUGUGACUGUGGUAAGUGUAUUAGCCGAAGAUUUCGACAGGAAAUAAGUGCAAUCGUUGUGUUGAUUGUUCUUGUAAUAGCAGUUCAUUCCUCUGAAAUAAUGUGAAUGGUUAUACUUUUCAAAAUACAGUUAUUUCCAAACAUGAAAGAAAUGUGUGGAUGAGAGGGUUACGUUCUCUUUAGAAAUUAUCUGCAAAUACGCAGUCAUUGCGUGUGCCUCAUUAGUACUAAAAAAUUGAUACGGGUUUAUUAGUUACACGCAAGUAAGUUACUCCUGUGUGAACCAGAACACCCAACUGAUGAUACUGGAAAUUGAGUAUCAACAGGAACAGUAGUGUGGCUAACCAGCUGUAUUCCACAAGUCCACACUGGAAUAGGACAUAGUCUACCAAGAGCCAUACAAGAUCAUUUUUGCAGAAUACCAGUUUACAAUCUAUGCGGAGUUCCUUUCUCAGAUUAUUUGUCUGCUGCCAUGGAAUACAACAAUGGAGCAUUCUCCACAGGGGAGGAAAACCGGUAUGAAGAGAACAUGCUGGCUUUGUCCUUUCUUCGCUGUCUGAGACGUUGGCUACUCUUCCAGUUGUCGGCCAACAGUGGGAUGCGGGAAAGUUCAACAACAUGGUGCUGGUGUGCUGACCCGGGGGAGCCCCAGAGGCACACGCCCUGCUUGCCCCGGUCAAGCACAAGACCUCCUGGAAAUACGUGAUACUAAACAAUGAUGUGUGGCUGUCCUGCUGUGACUUGUCUCUCCUGCAGAUAAAUUAGCAAAUUACUGUAUAUAGACAUGUUAUAUUUAUCUUGCUGACAGACUCGUGUCACAGUGACAGUGUUCUGCACCAGGAUGUGGACAGUGUCCCAGGGUCGGAGCAAAUGGCAGGCACUAGUAGAUGAAUAUGUCAGGAAGGAGGUGACCAGGUGCAGAGGAAUGUUCACCAAGCUGCACCUGGUCACCUCCUUCCUGAAGUAUUCUGACCGCCAGACUAAAGUACUACAGCGUGAGAGACAUCUGGGGGGGGCUAUGAGGAGCCCUGAAACUCGGCAUGGGUGAGGCCUCCAGAAAGUGAAACAGUGGCUCUCCCUGUUAAGAAGAUCCACCGAGCACAGGCUCACGACACACACAUCGUGAUGGCUAUGGAGCGGUUCAAAGUGCUGCGACAUGAGAUUCUGCAUUCCUGGGAACUAUCUUGCCCAUGGUGUGUACCCUUUACAGUAUGGCGGUAAGAGAAUAUUUUUUAAUUAUGCAGUUAAACUUUUGUUCCAUGGAAUUACAGAAAAAUUAUUGGUUAACCGCAGUCGGCCAUCAUUGGCAAUCCUCGGAACAUAUUUUAAGUUCCGCUAAAAUCUGCACUCUGAACCGCUCCACAGCCACCAUGAUGUGUGUUUCGUGAGCCAGUACUUGGUGGAUCUUCUUAGCAGAGAGGCUAUCAGCCAUCGGUGGCCAUCAUCAGAACAACUGCAGUCAGCAUUGGAUACAGCAGUGUAUGUUCAGCCCUGUAAAAUACUCUCAUUUGAUGAUUUAGUGUUGUAGUUCUGUGUAUUUUGAGAUGCAUGGUUUAUUGUAAAUGUAUUCUGUAGGUCUAAAGGCUGUUCCCAUUUUGGAGCAAUGUAUUUCAUAAACAGUAUUUUCUAGGCUAGUCUCUUAAAUGGUGUACCUACAUAUAAACUCUAUUUUUUCCAAAGCUUUUGGAACCAGUUGUGCAGUUCUCCAAUUCAAAUGAUAUGGAUUACUACUUCUUCUGCUUAUUCUUAAAGAAUAGCUACCUGUUUCUGUUAGGCAUGAAUUGGGGUGGGGUGAGAGGUUGGGUGAAAGGUAAACAGUUUGGUGUGUGGGGAGACUGGGUUACCUUAGAUUGAGGCAGAGAUGAUUACAGGAGCGGAAGAAACAAAUUUUCUGGUGGACAAAAACUGCAUGCUAGCUGGAAUUAAAACCUGUCACCUUUGCCUUCUGUGGGCAAAUGCUUUUGCUGACUCAGUUACUCUCAUUCAGGUUUCAUUCAUCAUCAGCCCUGCCAGCUUUACUUCACAGUACCUUUCUGCUACUUUCCAAACCUCACUGGAGUUCUCUUGCAUGCCUAGCUGUAGUAGUGCUGGAAGAAAGGGUGUUGUGGAGAAAUUAUUAGCCCCAACCUAAUGAAGUGUUUCUGGAAUGAAUUUUUGCUUGACAGUGAAGGGUGUGCUGUUGAAAGACUUGGUUUAAUCCCAAUAGUAUUAAUUCCACAAGAUACAAGCAUAAGGGAGAAUUUCUAUGAAGUUGGGAAAGUAGAAGGAAAGUAGAAGAGAGGAAAAGUGUAGCCUUAAGGGUGUGUUGUGAGUUGUCUGGGUAACUCAGCUGAUAGCAUUUCUCCACAAAAGGCAAAGGUUUCAGGUUAGACACAGUCCAGCUCGCAUCUUUCAUUUGCCAAGAAGUUUAAACACAGUGCACACUCUGCCAUACUACAUAAAAUUUCAUUCACCUAACUAGUAUUCUAAUGUGUGAAUGCUGCUAGUAAUGCAAUGAGCAUGUGAGCACUUGGACUGCCCUGCAGCAAUGUGCUUUGUGUGUGCUCUCCCCAUAACAAAUCUUGAGGCAGCAAUAAAAGUUAUCAGAAUCGGGUUAUCCCUGUCAGAAUUAGUCAGGCCAUCCCACCAAAAAUAAAUGUCUUUAGUGGAGGUGAAACUUGUGCUAUUUACAACUAGACAGUAUAUCAACUGCACAUUAAUCUCUCUAAAUUGUACAAAAAAUGCUGCUGCAUUGCUAUUACUGAAAAAAAAAUUAAUGACUAACCUGCCUGUAAUAGAUGCCUGCUUCUACAGUGUAAUGCACAAAAGCAUGCCAGCUUAUUAGACACACAGGAGCCACACCUGGAUCAGAUCCAUGCUGCAGGCCGACUGGGCUGGUAAACUAGCUAGCCUGCUCGUUUCGGCAAGUGCUGGGCAGCUCCUUGAAUUCCACCUUGGAGUCUCUCUCUCUCUCUCUCUCUCUCUCUCUCUCUCUCUCUCUCUCUCUCUCUCUCUCACACACUCACACACACACACACACACACACACACACACACACACACACACACACACACACACACACACACUGGCACAGAGUUUACAGGAUGCAAUGACUGCCUUAGAUUUGCUUCAUGACUGGUGUCAGGAAGAGCUUUGAGUUUAGAGUUCAAAUAAUAAAAUAAAAUUUGCCAGAUAUAUGAAAGCACACACUCUAGCUGAAAGCUCAAUUUCCUUUUACUGAUGAAAGAACUAAUCAACAUGUAAAGCUGAUAAUUCAAACUUUUGGGGGUGUCAAAAAAAAACUUUCACUAAACGAACUUAAAAUAGCCUGAAGAAGGUGGAAGAUGCUAUAAUGUCGACAUGGACCUUCUUAACAGAUUAAAUUUAUAAUCUAAUUUUCAUUAUUUGGUCAAUUACCACCUUUUGGUCCAAGUAAAUACCUUGUCUAAAUCAUUUUAGAAUUGUUUUUAUCUUCUGGUGACUUAUAGGUGGUGAAUCACAGCAUCAUCUGCAAAUAAAGAUGCCUGCUCUGAUUGUUACCUAAAUUGUUCAUAUAGAUCAGGAACAGCAAAGAGCCUAAAAAGUUACAGUAGUGCAGAUAUUGUUACUUACUGUAAGUUACUAUGAACUGUGACCUUCCUGACAGGAAGUUGCCAGUCAAGUCACAAAACUUAGAUGAUAACGUAGAGGCAUAAAAUUUGAAUGAUGGCUGUAAUUCCAAACCUUUCUGUAAAUAGAGAAUCAAUUUGAGUUCCCCUCUUCAUAGCCUCCAUCACUUUGAAUGAAAAAGAACUAGUUGCAUUUCACAUUUUCAGAGUCUGUGCUGUGUGUGAAUAGAUAAUUUUCCUGGAGGUAAUUCAUAAUGCUCAGACACAGUAUAUGUUCCAUAACCUACUGCAAUUAAAUGUGAUGUCUGUAAUGUAGGAGAUCAAUCUUAUUCCCUUGCUUCAAUAUUGAUGUGACCUCUGCAGCUUUCCAGUCUUAAGGUACAGAUCUCCUGUUCAGUGAGUUGUUGUGUAUGUUGGCUAACUGUGGAACUAUUAUACUAGCAUAUUCUAAAAGGGACCUAAUUGCUAUACAACCCGGACUGGAAGAAUUACCUUUAUUAAUUGAUUUAAGUUGCUUCAAUACAUUGAGGACAUCUACUUUGAAGUUAUUCAUGUUGGCAGCUGUUACUGAGUCAUUGUCCAAUAUUUACUUACGUCAAUGUUAGAUGCUGUAAGGUCUCUAAUAUUAAAGUAAAUCAACCUGAGAUGCAUGUAAAUACUUCUUUAUCCUUCUGUAUAUGUCUUUGUCAAAGUUGUAUGACUUUGUGUAUGUAUUAAAGUGUAACAUAUGUAACAUGUUUGUGGUUAGGGAAUGUAGUGUUUUAUGUGACAGAAAACAUGAAGUCCUUCCAUAACAGAAUGGUUUAAGUGGGAGUGUAAAAGGUGAAUUUGUGAGUGUUAAUGUGCCAAGAGUUUCUGUGGUUAGGCUUCAAAGAGUAAACAUACAGUGCUCGGUGAGAUAAGGAUCUGUGGAAAAGUGGAUUAAGUAAGACUACAAAGUGAACUAUAAUCUGCCACAGUACAAUGACAUUUGACUUGCUCUGAAAUUUGCAUUUCUGAUUCCAAGAACUAGUCAGAGCACAUUACAUUAAGAGCCAUGAUUUCAUUGUACAGCAGUGUCAUAGCCACAGAUUAUUGCCUUUAUAUCUGCCUUCAGGCAAAGUAAUGUUUUAAGUUUGUAUAUGCUUGCAUGAACCAUGUUUUGCUGAAAUUUUCACAUUAUAAAUGCUUAAUUUCAA